rnacentral:tRNA from 1 species
GCGGGGGUGCCCGAGCCAGGUCAAAGGGGUCGGGCUUAGGCCCCGAUGGCGCAGGCCUGCGUGGGUUCAAAUCCCACCCCCCGCACCA